CAGCCGCCGCGGGAAAACGAAGGGGGCUAGCGUUGCUCGGAAUGACUGGGCGUAAAGGGCGCGUAGGCGGAUGGCACAGUCAGAUGUGAAAUUCCCGGGCUUAACCUGGGGGCUGCAUUUGAUACGUGUUGUCUAGAGUGAGGAAGAGGGUCGUGGAAUUCCCAGUGUAGAGGUGAAAUUCGUAGAUAUUGGGAAGAACACCGGUGGCGAAGGCGGCGACCUGGUCCUUUACUGACGCUGAGGCGCGAAAGCGUGAGGAGCAAACAGGAUUAGAUACCCCUGUAGUCCCUGUCUCUUAUAC
rnacentral:rRNA from 1 species